GCCAUGUGCAGAAGGGAGAUGACAGACAGAAAUAUCAGAAGUGCGGGAUGCACGUGGGGGAAUACAGAUGGGGAGGCACAGGGAAAAGACCAAAACAUUAGGUGAGUAGUUAAUAGACUUCAAGGAGUGAAUACAAAAGCUAGCAGCUCUUAGAGGAGAAAUUCAAUGGGGACGUGUAGCUUUUUAACCCUGCAGAUGGUUUCCCAUUCAGCCUGCUUCCUCACCCCACUUUACCACCGCUGCGGAGACCCUAAACCAGCUGCCCUGCCCCCACGCCACUCCAACUACCUCUUGUCUGAGGGGUAGAGUUCAACAGUCAACACGUCCAGCGCGUUCCAGGAUGCGAUGCUGACCCCCCCAAAAAGGCAGAGCAGAGCGAUCAUGGCUGACUCGCUGUUCCCAAAAGACAGGAAGAAGCAGGAGACACAGGACAUCACGCUGGAGCCAGCUAGAGCCAGGAAAGGAGGGAGCAGCAUGAACCUGGCCAAGCGGCGCCCGUCCACAGCCCGCCCUGUGCCAUCUAGUAGCUAUGGGCCAAGCAGCUUGACGCAUAUUAAUAUGCAUUGAUCUACUAUGUCACCCCUGGGUGACACAGCUGGGCUCAAGUAACUUGCCCAAGAGAGCCUUCAAUGAAGCCCGCUCCCUCCCCGCAUCUUGCAGCCAAGACCUAAGCAGAAGACAGGAGAGAACCUUCUCCAGCGAAACAACUCCUUCCGAAUAAGACCCUGUUUGAAUGAGUUUUGCCCUCUUCAAAAGUACACCGAUAACAACGCAAGAUCUGCUUUAAUUCCCGCUUAAAGGGCCCUGGAGAGCUCAGCGUGUGAACCCUGAGUGAGGAAACCUAGGGAGUGAGGAACGUCCCUUCUCCCCUCCGCAAGGUCCCCUCAACCCCUUGGCCCGGCAGACACCAGCCACAGCGCCUUACCGGUGUUAUAGAACACAGUGUUGAUGAAUGUGCAGUUGCGGAAAAAUGUGUUGCUCGAAGUCACAUCCUCGAAAUAACACUCCUCAAACAGGGAGUCUUCAAAGGACACUGACUUCAGACGGAGCCCAAUGAACCUGCAAGGCCAGAACAAUGAGAAGCUCUUCCCCUCAUCCUCAUCGCCUCCUCCAAGACUCACUCCCUUGGGUGUGAGGAGAAACCACGGGUAUUUACUCCCACACACCCUGUCUCUGAACUCCCAGACUCACGAAAGAGACGAGGGGUAAAAGGGACAGGGAAGAAGUGGAAUGUAAAGAUCCCCACGUACUUGUCAUUGAAGUACUGUCCCCCUCUGUGGA